GAUGAACGCUGGCGGCGUGCCUAAUACAUGCAAGUCGAGCGAACAGACGAGUAGCUUGCUCUUCUGACGUUAGCGGCGGACGGGUGAGUAACACGUGGAUAACCUACCUAUAAGACUGGGAUAACUUCGGGAAACCGGAGCUAAUACCGGAUAAUAUAUUGAACCGCAUGGUUCAAUAGUGAAAGACGGUUUUGCUGUCACUUAUAGAUGGAUCCGCGCCGCAUUAGCUAGUUGGUAAGGUAACGGCUUACCAAGGCAACGAUGCGUAGCCGACCUGAGAGGGUGAUCGGCCACACUGGAACUGAGACACGGUCCAGACUCCUACGGGAGGCAGCAGUAGGGAAUCUUCCGCAAUGGGCGAAAGCCUGACGGAGCAACGCCGCGUGAGUGAUGAAGGUCUUCGGAUCGUAAAACUCUGUUAUUAGGGAAGAACAAAUGUGUAAGUAACUAUGCACGUCUUGACGGUACCUAAUCAGAAAGCCACGGCUAACUACGUG
rnacentral:rRNA from 1 species